AUUGAACGCUGGCGGCAGGCUUAACACAUGCAAGUCGAGCGAGCGGCGGACGGGUGAGUAAUGUCUGUGAAACUGCCUGAUGGAGGGGGAUAACUACUGGAAACGGUAGCUAAUACAGCAUACCAUCAGAUGUGCCCAGAUGGGAUUAGCUAGUAGGGGGGGUAACGGCUCACCUAGGCGACGAUCCCUAGCUGGUCUGCGAGGAUGACCAGCCACACGUGAACUGAGACACGGUCCAGCCUCCUACGGGAGGCAGCAGUGGGGAAUAUUGCACAAGGGGCGCAAGCCUGAUGCAGCCAUGCCGCGUGUAUGAAGAAGGCCUUCGGGUUGUAAAGUACUUUCAGCGAGGAGGCGUUGCUCGCAGAAGAAGCACCGGCUAACUCCGUGCCAGCCGCCGCGGUAAUAC
rnacentral:rRNA from 1 species